rnacentral:rRNA from 1 species
CGUAUCCAACCUGCCCUUUACUCGGGGAUAGCCUUUCGAAAGAAAGAUUAAUACCCGAUAGCAUAAUGAUUCCGCAUGGUUUCAUUAUUAAAGGAUUCCGGUAAAGGAUGGGGAUGCGUUCCAUUAGGUUGUUGGUGAGGUAACGGCCCACCAAGCCUUCGAUGGAUAGGGGUUCUGAGAGGAAGGUCCCCCACAUUGGAACUGAGACACGGUCCAAACUCCUACGGGAGGCAGCAGUGAGGAAUAUUGGUCAAUGGGCGCUAGCCUGAACCAGCCAAGUAGCGUGAAGGAUGAAGGCUCUAUGGGUCGUAAACUUCUUUUAUAUAAGAAUAAAGUGCAGUAUGUAUACUGGUUUGGAUGUAUUAUAUGAGUAAGGAUCGGCUAACUCCGUGCCAGCAGCCGCGGUAAUACCGAGGAUCCGAGCGUUAUCCGGAUUUAUUGGGUUUAAAGGGAGCGUAAGUGGACUGGUAAGUCAGUUGUGAAAGUUUGCGGCUCAACCGUAAAAUUGCAGUUGAUACUGUCAGUCUUGAAUAC